rnacentral:tRNA from 1 species
GGCUGUAGCUCAGCGGUAGAGCACUUGCCUUGCAUGUGUGAGGCACUGAGUUCGAUCCUCAGUACCA